rnacentral:rRNA from 1 species
GACGAACGCUGGCGGCGUGCCUAACACAUGCAAGUCGAGCGGAGUCGAUCGACGGAAGCCUUCGGGCGGAAGAUGGUUGACUUAGCGGCGGAUGGGUGAGUAACGCGUGGGCAACCUGCCUCGAAGACCGGGAUAACAGCCCGAAAGGGCUGCUAAUACCGGAUGUGGUCAAAGAUCCGCAUGGAUUUUUGAUUAAAGGGGAAACCCGUUUCGAGAUGGGCCCGCGUCCUAUCAGCUAGUUGGUGAGGUAAAAGCUCACCAAGGCGACGACGGGUAGCCGGCCUGAGAGGGUGACCGGCCACACUGGAACUGAGACACGGUCCAGACUCCUACGGGGGGCAGCAGUGGGGAAUCUUCCACAAUGGGCGAAAGCCUGAUGGAGCGACGCCGCGUGAGCGAAGAAGGUCUUCGGGUUGUAAAGCUCUGUCUGGAGGGACGAAGGAAGUGACGGUACCUCCGGAGGAAGCCACGGCUAACUACGUG